CAGCAGGGACGUUGGUCCAGCGUGGCCCUCCCAGGCCAGCCCAGGGAUUUACGCUCCGCCCUGGCUCUGCAAGCCCUUUGUGAGUCUCUGGUGGCCAGCUCAGAAUGACCAAAGCAGGGCGGGCUUUCUAUGGUCAUUUCUUUACCGCACAUGACAUAAACCACCCGAGAGCCCCAGUGAACGGCAGGAGAAAUGAACAUCUUUGGGAAAGUUUGGUGGAAAACCAGCCCGUAGAGCCGUGAGAGACACAGGAUUCACUUUUGGCACUCUCGCCUGGCUCAGCCACCUGGAAUCAAGGAAGACAGCACAGUGCUGACCCCACGCUCCUGCCAAUGCUCACUUCCUCCCCUGGGGUCAUUUCCCAGGAGCAGAGCUGCAGGCCGGGGCCUCUGUCUGCCUGUGGUAGGCACCCACACUCAUUCUCAUCUGGUUCCUUGUAAGUCUUCUAUUGCAAAAUCUUCUCAGGACUUGGAGACAUGCUAUUCUCGGUUUCCCCAAUAACAAAAUGAAAGUGCAAAGGUGCCGUGUCAGCAGGUGGGCCGUGGACUUCGCACCUGGGUGAUGGUGAACCUGCCUCCAAAAUUGCCAUGGGUCCAAAGAGGCGCCAAUUCCUGGCAAAACUGAUGACAUUUAUGAAUUUUAUUUCUGGUUGCAACCUGAUUUUGUUAUGGACCUAUACUGACGUCAG
rnacentral:lncRNA from 1 species